rnacentral:tRNA from 1 species
AUUAAAAAUAAGCUAAAUAAAGCUUUUGGGCUCAUACCUCAAAUAUAAAGAUAAUUCUUUUUUUUAAA